AUCUGUUCUUAUCAGUUUAAUAUCUGAUACGUCCCCUACCCGGGACCAUAUAUUAAAUUGAUUUUUGGAGCAGGGAGAUGGAAUAGGGGCUUGCUCCGUCCACUCCACGCAUCGACCUGGUAUUGCAGUAUUUCUAGGAACGGUGC
ensembl:snRNA U2 U2 spliceosomal RNA